rnacentral:rRNA from 1 species
GAUGAACGCUGGCGGCGUGCUUAACACAUGCAAGUCGAACGGAAACAGGACGAAGCCUAGCGAUUCCUGUUUUAGUGGCGGACGGGUGAGUAACGCGUGGGUAACCUGCCUUACACUGGGGGAUAACAGUUAGAAAUAGCUGCUAAUACCGCAUAAGCGCACAGGGCCGCAUGGCCUGGUGUGAAAAACUCCGGGGGUGUAAGAUGGACCCGCGUCUGAUUAGCUAGUUGGUGAGGUAACGGCCCACCAAGGCGACGAUCAGUAGCCGGCCUGAGAGGGUGAACGGGCGCAUUGGAGCUGAGACACGGCCCAAACUCCUACGGGAGGCAGCAGUGUGGAAUAUUGCACAAUGGGGGAAACACUGAGGCAGCGACGCCGCGUGAGUGAAGAAGUAUUUCGGUAUGUAAAGCUCUAUCAGCAAGGAAGAAAAUGACGGUACUUGACUAAGAAGCCCCGGCUAACUACGUGCCAGCCGCCGCCGUAA